UACAGAGGUCUCAAGCGUUGUUCGGAUUCAUUGGGCGUAAAGGGUGCGUAGGCGGCGCGGUAAGUCGGGUGUGAAAUCCCUCGGCUUAACCGGGGAACUGCGUCUGAUACUGGAUGGCUUGAGAUUGGGAGAGGGAUGCGGAAUUCCAGGUGUAGCGGUGAAAUGCGUAGAUAUCUGGAGGAACACCGGUGGCGAAGGCGGCAUCCUGGACCAACACUGACGCUGAGGAGCGAAAGCCAGGGGAGCAAACGGG
rnacentral:rRNA from 1 species